rnacentral:rRNA from 1 species
UUACCGUUAGUUACCAUCGAGGUUAAGCGUGGGGACUCUAGGCGGGACUGCCACCGUAAGGUGAGAGGAAGGUGGGGAUGACGUCAAAUCAGCACGGCCCUUAUGUCCAGGGCUACACACGUGUUACAAUGGCCGGUACAAAGGGCAGCUACUUCGCGAGAAGAUGCUAAUCUCGAAAGCCGGUCUCAGUUCGGAUCGAAGUCUGCAACCCGACUUCGUGAAGCUGGAUUCGCUAGUAAUCGCGCAUCAGCCAUGGCGCGGUGAAUACGUUCCCGGGCCUU